AGCUGAUCACUGGGCGUAAAGCGUGCGCAGGCGGUUUUGUAAGACAGAGGUGAAAUCCCCGGGCUCAACCUGGGAACUGCCUUUGUGACUGCAAGGCUGGAGUGCGGCAGAGGGGGAUGGAAUUCCGCGUGUAGCAGUGAAAUGCGUGGAUAUGCGGAGGAACACCGAUGGCGAAGGCAAUCCCCCUGGGCCUGCACUGACGCUCAUGCACGAAAGCGUGGGGAGCAAACA
rnacentral:rRNA from 1 species